UAGUAUAAAAAAAAAUUAUGUUGAUUUGUUGAUUUUUCAAAAAGUUAUGGAAGUUUUAAGAAAAAAAAGUGAAAAAAUUUCGAAAAUUAGCGAUUUUUAAAUUUGUAAUUUUUUUGGAUAUUUCCCCCAUUUGCGGGGAACGAGGGAAUUUUUUUCAAUUUUUAAGGGUAAUGUCUUCAACUAGAUACGAUUUGUGAUCUUUUGACGUAUUUUCGAAAGAAAUCGGUCCUGUGAGAGAUGAGAAAAAGUGGCAACAGACAUAAAAAAAAAAAAAAACACAUUAUAGUAAAAUUAAUACCUUCUCCGCUUCGCAUCGAAGCUAAAAAUAUAUGAUUAGAUUGCAUUGUUCUAUUACUUAUUGAAGCACCAAAACCUGGUUGGACAGAGUACUAGCACUAUAAUAUCGUUGUCAAAAUUCCAACUAAUUAAAAGCGUUCUCUAAAGUGUCUCUUCACUUGUCGACUAGCCAGUCUGAUCUCAGCCAUAGUGCGAGCCAUAGGAGUAUGGGACACUUACAUAAUUUAUUACGCAUUACUUACCUAUAUUUAUUUUAUUAUACACGUUACACGUUUUCAAAUACAUAAUUAGAUUGAAUUGUAUCUAUUACUUAUUUAUUAUUUAUUUAUUAAGGGCCAUAACCUAGCAGGACAGAAUACUAGUACAUUAGUAUCAUAAUUAAAAUUUUAAUUAACAACAAGAUUUCUCCAAAGUGUAUCCACUUGUCGACUAGCCAGUCUGAUCUCGGUCACAGUGCGGGCCAUCGAAGAGUAGGACACUAACAUAACUUAUUGUGCAAAGAACCGAAAUUGAGCUCGCAUCUACCCUAGACUACUCUGUGGACGACUGUAAAAAGACAUAGGCCACUUAGAAAUAGUUUAUUGCAUAGGACAGUUAUGUUGUUUAGAAUUUCUUUAUUGGUUUUACAAAUUAUAAAUACGUUAGUAUUAAACACCAUACACAAGGUCAAAGAGCAUAAAUAUACAAAAGGGUUUUUACAUAAAAUACCAAAAGUAAAAUAAAUUUAAAUUUCACCUUGAGUAGAUUUAAUAUAGAGUAGUACUAGAGAAAUAGUUACACACGAGUUAACAUAAAUCGUAUAAUUUCAAAUGUGUACACCAACACCUAUACAUAUCGACAACUACAUGAUUCAUCUCAACAGAAUAUCUGUCUUAUCAGGAUAAUUGCAAGUAAGUGAUAACAUUAUAUCCCUAUAAUAAACCCUUCACCGAAGGAUUUUUAGUAAUAAACAAUUUGAGUAAGAUUGACAAUACUAUGUCCCAUUCUUUAGAUUGGAUUUUUAUAGCAAAACGGUCAUUUUAAGAAUUUUUAUCACAAAAAAAUUGAAUUAUUUUCUACAAAUUUAAACAGAUGUUCAAUUGAUAUGCAAAACAACACUUCAUAAUCACCUGCAUCCAGUAUUUUGAUAAUGGUUCAACCAAUAAUAGAAUAACAUCAGUCAUAAUAGUUUUGGUUUUAAAGUAAAAAUUUAACUUAUUAUUAGAAAAACAUAUUUUUAAUUACUUUAUGUACAGUUAAAAUAUCAGGAAAUGAUGUUAUUAUUCCUUUAUAGAUAUGCAACAUGUCACCAAACGGCUCCCAAUCUAAUUUUGGUUGUUCUUCUAUAAGUUUACCAAUUUCAUUAUAUACAUCACCAGUUUUUUUCAAAGCAUUUGUUAAAUUAG